rnacentral:rRNA from 1 species
UACAGAGGGGGCAAGCGUUGUUCGGAAUUACUGGGCGUAAAGCGUGCGCAGGCGGUUUUGUAAGCCAGGUGUGAAAUCCCCGGGCUUAACCUGGGAAUGGCAUUUGGGACUGCAAGGCUUGAGUGCGGCAGAGGAGACUGGAAUUCCUGGUGUAGCAGUGAAAUGCGUAGAUAUCAGGAGGAACACCGAUGGCGAAGGCAGGUCUCUAGGCUGACACUGACGCUCAUGCACGAAAGCGUGGGGAGCAAACAGG